rnacentral:rRNA from 1 species
AUACGGAGGAUCCGAGCGUUAUCCGGAUUUAUUGGGUUUAAAGGGUGCGCAGGCGGGAGAUUAAGUCGGCGGUGAAAUUUUGCAGCUCAACUGUAAAAGUGCCUUCGAAACUGGUUUCCUUGAGUGUAGAUGAAGUAGGCGGAAUUUGUGGUGUAGCGGUGAAAUGCAUAGAUAUCACGAGGAACUCCGAUUGCGCAGGCAGCUUACUAAACUACUACUGACGCUCAGGCACGAAGGCGUGGGGAUCAAACAGGAUUAGAUACCCAGGUAGUCCACGCAGUAAACGAUGAUUACUAGCUGUUUGCGAUACAAUGUAAGCGGCUGAGCGAAAGCGUUAAGUAAUCCACCUGGGGAGUACGUUCGCAAGAAUGAAACUCAAAUGAAUUGACGGGG